rnacentral:rRNA from 1 species
GUAGGGGGCAAGCGUUUGUCCGGAAUUAUUGGGCGUAAAGCGCGCGCAGGCGGUCUCUUAAGUCUGAUGUGAAAGCCCACGGCUCAACCGUGGAGGGUCAUUGGAAACUGGGAGACUUGAGUGUAGGAGAGGAAAGUGGAAUUCCACGUGUAGCGGUGAAAUGCGUAGAUAUGUGGAGGAACACCAGUGGCGAAGGCGACUUUCUGGCCUACAACUGACGCUGAGGCGCGAAAGCGUGGGGAGCAAACAGGGAUUAGAUACCCUGGUAGUCCACGCUGUAAACGAUGAGUGCUAGGUGUUAGGGGUUUCGAUGCCCUUAGUGCCGAAGUUAACACAUUAAGCACUCCGCCUGGGGAGUACGGCCGCAAGGCUG